rfam:Kytococcus sedentarius DSM 20547, complete genome.
GGGGAUGAUCGGUUUCGACGUCGAUCACUGUCCCAGGGGAAGCGGGCCGAGAAGGCAAGGUCAUCUCGUAAACGUUCCUUGCAAACCAAUAGGUGCCAAUUCCAAGCGCACCGACUUCGCCCUCGCCGCCUGAGCGAGCCCGAAGUCUGUCAGCCUGAGCUAGUUUCCGACUCAGUGCCUGGCAUCAUCUAGGAAACUUGCUGCCCAGCAUCGUCGAGGUGCUGGGUGGGACUCUUACUCGACUGGGCCUGUCAGGAGACGUGUGCGUGCGAGUCCUGGGGCCGAGAAAAUCCACAGCGCACUGCGCCCGGAGAAGCCCUGGUCGUGUGACGACGGACGCGGGUUCGAUUCCCGCCAUCUCCACCA